rnacentral:ncRNA from 1 species
CUUGGGGGUGCACUUCCAUUUAGUGGAGGGCUGAGAUGAUACCCGUAACCUGAUCCGGAUAAUGCCGGCGUAGGGAAGAGAGAU